AUCUAACAGAAUAAAUUUUAUUCAAGGCAAACUUUUUGGUUUCGAACUUCAAAUUUCAAUUCACGUAUAACGAUCUACUCGCACAAAUUCGAUUGCAGAAGUCAAUUUAUGCAAAUUGCACGAGCGUGUAAACCUAGUUUCGCACAGUUUGAAUCUACAUUGUGAGCAAAGAAUACACCAUGCUCUUAAGAAAUUCCUCUAAAAAAAGAGAACUCAGGGGAUUUAAAUGAGGAGAUCGAAGGAGCCAUCAGACUGGUUUACUUCGUUCAAUCCAUCUUUCUACGAAGAUCCUAUCUAAAUGUUGUCGAGUGCUGAGUGCAAAAUGAGCUGGAGUUCCAUCGUGCACAAACCACAGUUCGAAUUCUUAGUCUUUCAUCAAGAAGCAUUAUAUUAACCUAUUUGUCCAAAAAUUAUGAUAAUAUCAAGGAUUGAAAGCAGUAGGUCCGCCGUUCGAGGGUUAAAAUGUUUGCUGAUUAUUCUUAUCACACUACUGAAACAUCGUUUUAACUCUUCCUAACUGUUCACUGAUCGUGAGGAUGUGUAACUAACAACUGUCUAGUGAAGCAUGGCGAUAAUCCUGUGUUAUGAAACGUGUGUUUAACUGAACAGAAGGACAGAUAAUCAUGUCACUCAAAGGCUACAAAUACAUCAAACUAUAUAAAAUCUCAGAUGGACAGAAUAAUAAUAAUCAACUUCAAAUAAAAUGACCUAAUUUUCGUUUGUAAAUCUUCAAACAACCGAAAAUAUAAAGGAGUUCACGGG